rnacentral:rRNA from 1 species
GACGAACGCUGGCGGCGUGCUUAACACAUGCAAGUCGAGCGGCGCGGCGAACGGGGGCGUACCGCGUGGGUAACUGCCCCCCUCUAUGGGAUACCCGUUGGAAACGGCUGCUAAUACCGGAGAUUGGGGGGGGACUCGCGUCCUAUCCGCUUGUUGGUGGGGUAGGGGCCGACCAAGGGGAGGACGGGUAGCCGGCCCGCGGGGGCGACCGGCCACAAUGGGCUGAGAUACGGACCAAAAUGCUACGGGAGGCAGCAGAGGUGAAUAUUGCCCAAUGGGGGAAACUCAGAUGCAGCGAUGCCGCGUGCGGAAUGACGGCCUGUGUGUUGUAAACAACUUUCAUCCAUGACGCGGUAGUGGAAGAAGAAGCACCGGCUAACUACGUGCCAGCAGCCGCGGUAAUAC